UGUUGAUGAUGAUAAAUCCAAAGGCUUGUUUCUCAAAACAUUCGCAGUGGCCGCCUAAGAGCUUUCGCCUCCGCCAGGCUUGAGAGCUUGUGCUGCUUUAUCCUUCCUUGGAUGUCUGAAACU
rnacentral:snoRNA from 1 species